rnacentral:rRNA from 1 species
AUUGAACGCUGGCGGCAGGCUUAACACAUGCAAGUCGAGCGGGGGAGGUUGCUUCGGUAACUGACCUAGCGGCGGACGGGUGAGUAAUACUUAGGAAUCUGCCUAUUAAUGGGGGACGACAUCUCGAAAGGGAUGCUAAUACCGCAUACGCCCUACGGGGGAAAGCAGGGGAUCACUUGUGACCUUGCGUUAAUAGAUGAGCCUAAGUCGGAUUAGCUAGUUGGUGGGGUAAAGGCCUACCAAGGCGACGAUCUGUAGCGGGUCUGAGAGGAUGAUCCGCCACACUGGGACUGAGACACGGCCCAGACUCCUACGGGAGGCAGCAGUGGGGAAUAUUGGACAAUGGGGGGAACCCUGAUCCAGCCAUGCCGCGUGUGUGAAGAAGGCCUUAUGGUUGUAAAGCACUUUAAGCGAGGAGGAGGCUCUUUUGGUUAAUACCCAAGAUGAGUGGACGUUACUCGCAGAAUAAGCACCGGCUAACUCUGUGCCAGCCGCCGCGGUAAUAC